UGGGGAAUUUUGGACAAUGGGCGAAAGCCUGAUCCAGCAAUGCCGCGUGUGUGAAGAAGGCCUUCGGGUUGUAAAGCACUUUUGUCCGGAAAGAAAUCCUUGGCUCUAAUACAGUCGGGGGAUGACGGUACCGGAAGAAUAAGCACCGGCUAACUACGUGCCAGCAGCCGCGGUAAUACGUAGGGUGCAAGCGUUAAUCGGAAUUACUGGGCGUAAAGCGUGCGCAGGCGGUUUGCUAAGACCGAUGUGAAAUCCCCGGGCUCAACCUGGGAACUGCAUUGGUGACUGGCAGGCUAGAGUAUGGCAGAGGGGGGUAGAAUUCCACGUGUAGCAGUGAAAUGCGUAGAGAUGUGGAGGAAUACCGAUGGCGAAGGCAGCCCCCUGGGCCAAUACUGACGCUCAUGCACGAAAGCGUGGGGAGCAAACAGGAUUAGAUACCCUGGUAGUCCACGCCCUAAACGAUGUCAACUAGUUGUUGGGGAUUCAUUUCCUUAGUAACGUAGCUAACGCGUGAAGUUGACCGCCUGGGGAGUACGGUCGCAAGAUUAAACUCAAAGGAAUUGACGGGGUCAUAGCUGUUU
rnacentral:rRNA from 1 species